GGUCAGCGUGGCAUAGUGGUUUGAGCGUUGGACUCUGAUGCUGGAGUCCUGGGUUCGAUUCCCGGCUUAACCU